UGGGGAAUUUUGGACAAUGGGCGAAAGCCUGAUCCAGCAAUGCCGCGUGUGUGAAGAAGGCCUUCGGGUUGUAAAGCACUUUUGUCCGGAAAGAAAUCCUUGGCUCUAAUACAGUCGGGGGAUGACGGUACCGGAAGAAUAAGCACCGGCUAACUACGUGCCAGCAGCCGCGGUAAUACGUAGGGUGCAAGCGUUAAUCGGAAUUACUGGGCGUAAAGCGUGCGCAGGCGGUUUGCUAAGACCGAUGUGAAAUCCCCGGGCUCAACCUGGGAACUGCAUUGGUGACUGGCAGGCUAGAGUAUGGCAGAGGGGGGUAGAAUUCCACGUGUAGCAGUGAAAUGCGUAGAGAUGUGGAGGAAUACCGAUGGCGAAGGCAGCCCCCUGGGCCAAUACUGACGCUCAUGCACGGAAGCGUGGGGAGCAAACAGGAUUAGAUACCCUGGUAGUCCACGCCCUAAACGAUGUCAACUAGUUGUUGGGGAUUCAUUUCCUUAGUAACGUAGCUAACGCGUGAAGUUGACCGCCU
rnacentral:rRNA from 1 species